CAGGAUUGUUUGCAGAUAAUGCUGUUCUUCUUUUUCAGGUCUACAAUAUCGAGCUCAACAGCUCUUUUAAGAGCAAACCCUCACAAACCUUCCUAAAAACUAAAAGAGCUAUUACUGAGUCUCAGUGAAUCUUGCCAUGAUCAGCUCUUCCCAGAAGAUAAGGAAGACCAAGGAAAUUAUUUGCUCAGGAUGAGGAAUGAAGAUGGCCAUCUUGUGCUCAAACAAACAGAAGUCCUCUGAUGAUCUCAUCAGCCAAAUGAGGGGUUUUGACCAAGGA